rnacentral:rRNA from 1 species
UACGUAGGGUGCAAGCGUUAAUCGGAAUUACUGGGCGUAAAGCGUGCGCAGGCGGUUCUAUAAGACAGAUGUGAAAUCCCCGGGCUCAACCUGGGAAUUGCGAUGGAGACUGCAAGGCUGGAGUCUGGCAGAGGGGGGUAGAAUUCCACGUGUAGCAGUGAAAUGCGUAGAGAUGUGGAGGAACACCGAUGGCGAAGGCAGCCCCCUGGGUCAAGACUGACGCUCAUGCACGAAAGCGUGGGGAGCAAACAGG